GUAAUGGCCUACCAAGGCGACGACGGGUAGCCGGCCUGAGAGGGCGACCGGCCACACUGGGACUGAGACACGGCCCAGACUCCUACGGGAGGCAGCAGUGGGGAAUAUUGCACAAUGGGCGCAAGCCUGAUGCAGCGACGCCGCGUGAGGGAUGACGGCCUUCGGGUUGUAAACCUCUUUCACCAGGGACGAAGCGAAAGUGACGGUACCUGGAGAAGAAGCACCGGCCAACUACGUGCCAGCAGCCGCGGUAAUACGUAGGGUGCGAGCGUUGUCCAUGGUUACUGGGCGUAAAGAGCUCGUAGGCGGUUUGUCGCGUCGUUCGUGAAAACUUGGGGCUUAACUCCAAGCGUGCGGGCGAUACGGGCAGACUUGAGUACUACAGGGGAGACUGGAAUUCCUGGUGUAGCGGUGAAAUGCGCAGAUAUCAGGAGGAACACCGGUGGCGAAGGCGGGUCUCUGGGUAGUAACUGACGCUGAGGAUCGAAAGCGUGGGUAGCGAACAGGAUUAGAUACCCUGGUAGUCCACGCCGUAAACGGUGGGUACUAG
rnacentral:rRNA from 1 species